AGAGGCGCAAAAGUCAAAAAUUCAGUCAAUAUUUGAUACUUUUUGACAAUAACAAAUUUUUUGUUUACUGUGAGAAAACUGAAUUAAAAUUUCCGGAUAUUAUGAUGAAAUUAAUUUAUAUUGUGAUGGACUUAUGAAAAUUUACGGUUAAUAUCAGCGGGAAAGUGUAAGUUCGGUCAGAAUAUCACAACCAGUGUUUUUUGCCCCAUGCCAAAGUUCCGUUAAUUUAUAAUUGAAACCUUUGUUUAUACCGAUAUAAAAUCGCGAAAUAUUCGUCGUUUGAAAUGUGUUUAGGCCAGAGAAGAAUUUAAAAGGGUUCGUCCAACGUGAUCCUGCAAAGGGAUUCUCUCUAGAAGAAAAUUAUUGGAUGGGGCUUGCUUUGCCCCCAGUUUCUUGCACUGGCUCCCACUUCAACCACCACCAUUACCCCGUUAAACUCAGAAGACCGACGAUAUUUUUGUGGA